GACGAACGCUGGCGGCGCGCUUAACACAUGCAAGUCGAGCGAAGCGGCGGCCGGGUGAGUAACACGUGAGUAACCUGCCUUAGACAUUGGGAUAGCCUCGGGAAACCGGGAUUAAUACCAAAUGGUCUAAGAUGGACUAGGGUCCCAUUAGCUGGUUGGUGAGGUAACGGGCCACCAAGGCGACGAUGGGUAGCCGGCAUGAGAGGGUGGACGGACACAGUGGAGCUGAGAAACAGUCCAAACUCUGCGGGAGGCAGCAGUGGGGAAUAUUGCACAAUGGAGGGAACUCUGAUGGAGCGAGGCCGCGUGAACGAAGAAAGCUGUCGAGUCGUAAAGUGCUUUUAUAUGGGAAGCGGUACCAUAAGAAAAAGCCCCGGCUAACUACGUGCCAGCAGCCGCGGUAAUAC
rnacentral:rRNA from 1 species